GAUGAACGCUGGCGGCGUGCCUAAUACAUGCAAGUCGAGCGAACGGACGAGAAGCUUGCUUCUCUGAUGUUAGCGGCGGACGGGUGAGUAACACGUGGAUAACCUACCUAUAAGACUGGGAUAACUUCGGGAAACCGGAGCUAAUACCGGAUAAUAUUUUGAACCGCAUGGUUCAAAAGUGAAAGACGGUGUUGCUGUCACUUAUAGAUGGAUCCGCGCUGCAUUAGCUAGUUGGUAAGGUAACGGCUUACCAAGGCAACGAUGCAUAGCCGACGUGAGAGGGUGAUCGGCCACACUGGAACUGAGACACGGUCCAGACUCCUACGGGAGGCAGCAGUAGGGAAUCUUCCGCAAUGGGCGAAAGCCUGACGGAGCAGCGCCGCGUGAGUGAUGAAGGUCUUCGGAUCGUAAAACUCUGUUAUUAGGGAAGAACAUAUGUGUAAGUAACUGUGCACAUCUUGACGGUACCUAAUCAGAAAGCCACGGCUAACUACGUG
rnacentral:rRNA from 1 species